rnacentral:rRNA from 1 species
CCGCCAGGGAACUACGAGCUAAGCUUAAAACCCAAAGGACUUGACGGUACCCCAUAUCCCCCUAGAGGAGCCUGUCCUAUAAUCGAUAAUCCACGUUUAACCUCACCAUUUCUAGUUUCUCAGCCUGUAUACCUCCGUCGUCAGCUUACCACGUGAGCGUUAAUUAGUGAGCCUAAUGUUUUUUCACCAACACGUCAGGUCAAGGUGCAGCAAAUGAAAUGGGAAGAGAUGGGCUACACUUUCUAUAUUAGAAGAAACGAAAAACUAUUUAUGAAAUCUAGUUGGAAGGCGGAUUUAGCAGUAAAAAGGAAUCAGAAUAUUCAUUUUAACCCGGCACUGGGGUGUGU